GGGGUCCUACGGGACGCAGCAGUAGGGAAUCUUCCACAAUGGGCGAAAGCCUGAUGGAGCAACGCCGCGUGGGUGAAGAAGGUCUUCGGAUCGUAAAACCCUGUUGUUAGAGAAGAAAGUGCGUGAGAGUAACUGUUCGCGUUUCGACGGUAUCUAACCAGAAGGCCACGGCUAACUACGUGCCAGCAGCCGCGGUAAUACGUAGGUGGCAAGCGUUAUCCGGAUUUAUUGGGCGUAAAUGGAACGCAGGCGGUCUUUUAAGUCUGAUGUGAAAGCCUUCGGCUUAACCGGGGUAGUGCAUUGGA
rnacentral:rRNA from 1 species